rnacentral:rRNA from 1 species
AUUGAACGCUGGCGGCAGGCCUAACACAUGCAAGUCGAACGAGUGGCGGACGGGUGAGUAAUGUAUGGGAAACUGCCUGAUGGAGGGGGAUAACUACUGGAAACGGUAGCUAAUACCGCAUACCAUCGGAUGUGCCCAGAUGGGAUUAGCUAGGUGGUGGGGUAAAGGCUCACCUAGGCGACGAUCCGUAGCUGGUCUGCGAGGAUGACCAGCCACACUGGAACUGAGACACGGUCCAGACUCCUACGGGAGGCAGCAGUGGGGAAUAUUGGACAAUGGGCGCAAGCCUGAUUCAGCCAUGCCGCGUGUAUGAUGAAGGCCUUCGGGUUGUAAAGUACUUUCAGCGGGGAGGCGUUACCCGCAGCAGAAGCACCGGCUAACUCCGUGCCAGCAGCCGCGGUAAUUC